ACCGAAACUGGUUUAACGGUGCGAAAGCCACACCGCUUUUUCUGGUGUGGUGUGGAUCGGACACCACUCUUUCGGUGC